UUGGUUGCUGUAGAUUAAGUAGUUUAAUAUGAUGCUGCACUUAAUAGACCGCAACCUGCA
rnacentral:pre_miRNA from 1 species